GACUGCAACACCCUGGUCACUGAAGAUGUUGCAGUACAGCGAAGGCUGACGGCUUAAUAGGAGCCAAUCAACCUAUUUCCAUUGGGGAUUCCUGACACUUGGUGAUAAUUGCUAGGCUAAUGAGACAAUUGGCUCAGUAACUGGGAGGAACAGGAAGCUGGGUGGAGGAAAGAAGCUGUGGGGCAGGCUUCUCCUGGUGUACAACUGUGCUCUACCCUGCCCAUCCUGAAAAUAGAGGAUUAAAGGUACAUAUGAUAGAAAGGCUGUGUAAUGGACAGUGGCACCUUAUCCUCAAGAGGGAAGAUAAGGAAGAAGCACUGAUGCUUUUCAAGAUAUCUCAGCAUCCAACGCGCAGGUCUCUGGAAAACUUGGGCAGAAGAGCGACAAUGGGAGCUGCUGGGUUCUGAGCAAUUCUGAAAAUCUGGCCCGAAGUCCCAGGAGCACCCCACACCAGGUUUGAAGUUCAGCCAUGAAAGAACAACCACCGAGCAGCAUGUACUAGAAUAGAAAAGGAAGGAACCACAGCUUGCCCCAAAAGGGCUUUGUGUUUUAUAAUGAGUCCAACAUUGGCCUCUGUUCUAACCUGCCUGGUUUGUUACUGUGACCACACCUCCCCACUCCCAAAGGGCUGCACUUCAAAGGGUAUUUCUCCAAACUGGUGGUGCCUCUCAGCUGAGAGAAGCUUCUGCCCUGUCUCUGUGAAUUUCAAGGCAGGAGCUACCAUGGCUAGGGCUGAAGCUGAAACCACACUGGAUAGUUCAGCUCAGAUUGGGAGGUUAAGAAUCCUCCAGCUCCUGGAGCCUCUUUUGCCUUAAUAAAUUUUAAAUCAAUAUGUCAAAAUAUCAAAAGUCAAAGUUCUCUACAAAACAGGCUGCUAGCUGAAGGGGAAAGACUGCACUAUUUUAAAGCAAAUGCAUUUUAGUAAAAAAAAGAGUUGUUUAAAAAAAUCUAUUUAUUUGCUAAAUGUCAGGGGGCUGUGGAGCCAGCUUCUGGUGUGGGCCCUGCUUUACUUAAAAAAAUUUCCAAGCAUGGCAGUCCAGUGCAUGUUGUGAGCCAAUGACGCAGGUGCUGGAGAGACACUAAUCUCUCAUCAUCUCCAUGUAGCUGCAGGGAGCAGACAUCAGACACACUCCCUGCCAAGCGCUUUAUACAAAGGACACCUGUAAAUGCACAGAGGCGGCCAAAUGUUACUUACCCCAGUUUCUGCAGUUUGCAGUUCGGGUGUUUCAGUCCCUCACACAGCAAC